UUUCGCAAUGCCCGAAAGGGUGACGAAGCGACGCCGCGUGAGUGAGGAAGGCCUUCGGGUUGUAAAGCUCUGUCAGGAGUUAAGAAAUAUAAGUGUGCUAAUACCACAUUUAUUUGACGAAGGCUCCAAAGGAAGCCACGGCUAACUCUGUGCCAGCAGCCGCGGUAAUACAGAGGUGGCAAGCGUUGUUCGGAAUUAUUGGGCGUAAAGAGCACGUAGGUGGGUUUGUAAGUCAGAUGUGAAAGCCUUCUGUUCAACGGAAGAAUUGCAUCUGAAACUGCGAGUCUUGAGUGUAGGAGGGGAGAGUGGAACUUCUGGUGGAGCGGUGAAAUGCGUAGAUAUCAGAAGGAACGCCGGCGGCGAAAGCGACUCUCUGGCCUAUUACUGACACUCAGUGUGCGAAAGCUAGGGGAGCAAACGGGAUUAGAUACCCCGGUAGUCCUAGCCGUAAACGAUGGGCACUAAGUAGAGGGGUUUUA
rnacentral:rRNA from 1 species